CCUACGGGGCGCACCAGUGGGGAAUUUUCCGCAAUGGGCGAAAGCCUGACGGAGCAAUGCCGCGUGGAGGUAGAAGGCCCACGGGUCGUGAACUUCUUUUCCCGGAGAAGAAGCAAUGACGGUAUCUGGGGAAUAAGCAUCGGCUAACUCCGUGCCAGCAGCCGCGGUAAUACGAAGGGGGCUAGCGUUGUUCGGAAUUACUGGGCGUAAAGCGCGCGUAGGCGGAUAGGUAAGUCAGAGGUGAAAUCCCGGGGCUCAACCCCGGAAUUGCCUUUGAUACUGUUUAUCUUGAGUGCAGAAGAGGUAAGUGGAAUUCCGAGUGUAGAGGUGAAAUUCGUAGAUAUUGGGAAGAACACCGGUGGCGAAGGCGGCAACCUGGCUCGAUACUGACGCUGAGGCGCGAAAGCGUGGGGAGCAAACAGGAUUAGAUACCCGCGUAGUC
rnacentral:rRNA from 1 species